rnacentral:pre_miRNA from 1 species
AUAUUAUUGCUUCCGUCUAACAAAGAAUGUCUCAAGUUUGUUAAAAUUUAAACGUAUCUAGAUGUGACUUAGUGUAUAAAUGCAUUUAAAUUUAGUCAAAGUUGAAACGUCCAUUGUUAGACGGAGGAAGGAGUAA